CGGGGUCGGAACUUCGGUUCCGGCUUACGUGGCGCACGGGUGAGUAACACGUGGGAAUCUGCCCAUCUAUGGGGAAUAACUGCGGGAAACUGCAGCUAAUACCGCAUACGCCCUUCGGGGGAAAGGCUUCGGCCGUAGAUGGAUGAGCCCGCGUCCGAUUAGCUAGUUGGUGGGGUAAUGGCCUACCAAGGCGACGAUCGGUAGCUGGUCUGAGAGGAUGAUCAGCCACACUGGGACUGAGACACGGCCCAGACUCCUACGGGAGGCAGCAGUGGGGAAUAUUGGACAAUGGGCGAAAGCCUGAUCCAGCAAUGCCGCGUGAGUGAUGAAGGUCUUCGGAUUGUAAAGCUCUUUCGACGGGGAAGAUAAUGACGGUACCCGUAGAAGAAGCCCCGGCUAACUUCGUGCCAGCAGCCGCGGUAAUACGAAGGGGGCAAGCGUUGUUCGGAAUUACUGGGCGUAAAGCGCGCGUAGGCGGCGUCGUCAGUCAGAGGUGAAAUCCCAGGGCUCAACCUUGGAAUUGCCUUUGAUACUGCGAUGCUUGAGUUCGAGAGAGGGUGGCGGAAUACCCAGUGUAGAGGUGAAAUUCGUAGAUAUUGGGUAGAACACCAGUGGCG
rnacentral:rRNA from 1 species